GAUGAAGAACGCAGCGAAAUGCGAUACGUAAUGUGAAUUGCAGAAUUCAGUGAAUCAUCGAGUCUUUGAACGCACAUUGCGCCCCCUGGUAUUCCGGGGGGCAUGCCUGUCCGAGCGUCAUUGCUGCCCUCAAGCACGGCUUGUGUGUUGGGCCUCCGUCCUCCGAUCCCGGGGGACGGGCCCGAAAGGCAGCGGCGGCACCGCGUCCGGUCCUCGAGCGUAUGGGGCUUUGUCACCCGCUCUGUAGGCCCGGCCGGCGCUUGCCGAUCAACCCAAAUUUUUUAUCCAGGUUGACCUCGGAUCAGGUAGGGAUACCCGCUGAACUUAAGCAUUUCAAUAAGCGGAGGA
rnacentral:misc_RNA from 1 species